rnacentral:lncRNA from 1 species
GAGCACAAGGAACUUUACCCAGUAUUCCGUGAUUAUUUAUAUGGGAAAAGAAUCUAAAAAAGAAUGGAUAUGUGUAUAACCACAUCACUUUGUUGGGUAGCAGAAGUUAUCACAGCACUGUUGAUCAACUAUACUUCAAUAAAACUUAAAAAAAAAUCCGUCUGGGAGUGUCCUGGUAGCUCAGUGGGUUAAGGACCUGGCAUUUUCACUGCUGUGGUGUGACUGACUGCUGGCCCAGGAUCUUCUGCGUGCUAUGGGCACAGCCUAGGUAAAUAAAUAAAUAAAUAGGAGUUCCCGUUAUGGCUCAGUGGUAAUGAAUCUGACUAGUAUCCAUGAGGAUGCAGGUUCGAUCCCUGGCCUCGCUCAGUGGGUUAAGAAUCUGGUGUUGCUGUGGCUGUGGUAUAAGCUGGCAGCUACAGCUCCAAUUCAGCCCCUAGCCUGGGAACUUCCAUAUGCUGCAGGUGCAGACCUGAUCCAAAAAAAAAAAAAGACAAAAAUAAAAUAAAAUAAAUAAACAGCCUUCUGGACUUCUCCAUCACGAAGAAACUCAUCUGUCGUGACUCUAAGUUAAAACCACUCGAAGAGUUGGGUUUUGUGCAUCAUUUGCCUGAAGUACCACGCGAAGAACUUGCAGUGGGAGUUGAACGGUGACUGCGAGAGGGCAGUGAGAAGCAUUUUCCCCAGAGGGUCAGCAGGGAAUUGAUCAUUAUUUCAGCAGAUAAACUGUUGUGUCUGCGAGGAAGGAAAAGAUGCAGGGCUGGCCUCUCACGGCUCCUCGGGGCUCGAUGUUACACAAACAGGAACGUUUCUGAUUUCAGCCCUUUGAGAAAAUUCCCUGUGAGAUGGAAAGCCUGACUGGCCUUUUCUGGUCCAUUCUUCCUCCAUGGGUAGAGAGCUAAUUUCACAUAAUUGAGGAAGCCUGCUCCAAAGAGACUAAAAUUGGACUGCUGGAGAGAGUACAAAAACACAGGGGUGGGAGAGAGAGGCUGGCGUUUAAGGCACAGUUGCACUGAUGGCUCUGUAAGUUUCACACUUCCACCGAGAAACUCAGGAACCCUGGCUCACAGCACUGUGCAGGGCAGUUUUCAAAAGCUGGUGCCGACCGGUUUAUUUCUACAUUGAAAAAUCACCUCCUUCAAAACCCUUGUGAAUUCUCUAAAUUUCAUAUCUAUAUGUGAAUUACAUAAAACACCAGUUCUCACUUUGGAAAAUUUGCUCUUUAUUUACGUAUGUGUAUAUUUACCUAUUUACUUAUUUUGAGGCCAUGGCCACAGCAUGAGCUAGUCCCUGGGCCAGGGAUGGGACCCCCACCACAGCUGUAAACAGACCCACAGCAAUGACAAUGCCAGACCCUUAACCCACUGAGGCACAAGGGAACUCUGGAAAACUUGCCAUUUAAACACUAAUGAUGAGAGUUUCCUGGUGGCCUAGUGGUUAAGGACUCAGCAUUGUCACUGCUGUGGCUCUGGUUACUGCUGUGGCUCAGGUUUGAUCCCUGCCCCUAAAUCCAAGAUCUUUCCUUUCCUGGAAGGAAUUCUGAAAGCGUCUGCUCUCAGCCCAGCUCUGCCAUGUCAUUAUGGAAGAAAAUUCAGUCUGAUUUUUAUAUUGUUGUAACGUGGACAUGAAAUUCCUCAGAUCACCUUAACUACUGGUGGAAUCAGAAUUCCUGUCAUGGCCCAUUGGAUUCAUUUCCGCUGCACCACGAUGGGAACUCCUACCUCAUUGUAGUUUAGAACUGCAUUUCACUAAUGAUUAGUGAUGUUGAGCAUUUUUCCAGAUGCCCCUUGUCUUCUUUGGAGAAAUGUCUUUUUAAAUUUUCUGCCCAUUUUUUGAUUGGGUUAUUUGGUUUUUUUUUUUUUUUUAUUGAGUUGGAUGAGCCAUUUGGAUAUUUUGGAAAUUAAUCCCUUAUUGAUAGCAUCAUUUGCAAAUAUUUUUAUCCCAUUCUGUGGGUUGUAUUUUCAUUUUGUUUAUGGUUUCCUUUGCUGUGCAAAAGCUUUUCAGUUUAAUUAGGUCCCAUUUAUUUGUUUUUAGUUUUACUCUAGGAAGUGGACAUUAGAAGAUAUUGCUGUGAUUUAUGUCAAAGAUCAAAGAGUGUUUUGUCUAUGUUUUCCUCUAGAAGAUUUAUAGUAUUUGGUCUUACAUUUAGAUCUUUAAUCCAUUUGGAGUUCAUUUCUGGGUAUGGUGUUAGAGAGUGUUCUAAUUUCAUUCUUUUGCAUGUAGCUGUCCAGUUUUCCCAGCACCACUUUUUUAAGAGAUUGUCUUUUCUCCAUUCUUGCCUCCUGUGUCAUAGAUUAAUUGCCCGUAGGUGCAUGGGUUUAUUUCUGGGCUCUCUUUCCUCUUCCAUUGAUCUGUGUUUCUUUCUCAAGAUUGCUUUGGCCAUUUGGGAUCUUUUCGUGUUUCCAUAUAAAUUUUAAAAAUUUCUAAUUCUGUGAAAAAUGCCAUUGAUAUUUUGAUAGGGAUUGCAUUGAAGCUAUAGAUUGUCUUGGGUAGGAUAGUCAUUUUAACAAUAUUGAUUCUUCCAAUCCAAGAACACAAUGCAUCUUUCCAUCUGUGUGUCAUCUUCAAUUUCUUUCAUCAGUAUCUUACAGUUUUUGGUGUACAAGUCUUUUGCUUCCCUAGGUAGGUUUAUUCAACACCACAUCUUUAUCCAUUCAUCUGUUGAUGGACAUCUGUUGCUUCCAUGGAAUGUGGCAGAUUCUUAUAUUAAAAAGCUUAAACCUAAGGCUGUUCCUAUCCUUCCAUCCUCCC